rnacentral:rRNA from 1 species
GAUGAACGCUGGCGGCGUGCUUAACACAUGCAAGUCGAACGGAAACGCUCCUGCUUGCAGGGGUACUCGAGUGGCGAACGGGUGAGUAACACGUGGGUGAUCUGCCCUGCACUUCGGGAUAAGCCUGGGAAACUGGGUCUAAUACCGGAUAGGACGAUGGUUUGGAUGCCAUUGUGGAAAGUUUUUUCGGUGUGGGAUGAGCUCGCGGCCUAUCAGCUUGUUGGUGGGGUAAUGGCCUACCAAGGCGUCGACGGGUAGCCGGCCUGAGAGGGUGUACGGCCACAUUGGGACUGAGAUACGGCCCAGACUCCUACGGGAGGCAGCAGUGGGGAAUAUUGCACAAUGGGCGCAAGCCUGAUGCAGCGACGCCGCGUGGGGGAUGACGGCCUUCGGGUUGUAAACUCCUUUCGCUAGGGACGAAGCGCAAGUGACGGUACCUGGAGAAGAAGCACCGGCUAACUACGUG